GAACUCGGAGGGAAUUACUAGAGACAACGCUACAAAAGCGAAAAGCUGAGAACAGUCGUUAAAGUCCCUGAUGAGGAAAAAUAAAAAUCAAUUAAACUGACAAGGAAGAAAUUAGACACGCUUGCUCUUGCUCAUCUCUUCCCCCUCACCUCUCUUUCUUUCGCAAACUCUCACACCUGGGCGAGCCAAGCAACUGAAAGGACAACAUAAAUGGCGAAAUCGAGCGCCGAUGAUGAGGAGCUCAGGAGAGCCUGCGAGGCUGCAAUCGAAGGCACCAAGCAGAAGGUCGUCAUGUCGAUCCGCGUCGCCAAGAGCCGAGGGAUCUGGGGCAAAUCUGGCAAAUUGGGUCGCCAAAUGGCCAAGCCUAGGGUUCUCGCUCUCUCUACAAAAUCAAAGGGUCCUAGGACUAAAGCAUUUCUUCGAGUCCUAAAAUAUUCCACUGGAGGAGUCCUUGAGCCUGCAAAGUUAUACAAGCUGAAGCAUCUUUCAAAGGUGGAGGUUAUAACUAAUGAUCCUAGUGGAU
rnacentral:misc_RNA from 1 species